rnacentral:misc_RNA from 1 species
GAUGAAGAACGUAGCGAAAUGCGAUAAGUAAUGUGAAUUGCAGAAUUCAGUGAAUCAUCGAAUCUUUGAACGCACAUUGCGCCCAUUAGUAUUCUAGUGGGCAUGCCUGUUCGAGCGUCAUUAAGUCCACUUAAGCCCUGCUUAGUGUUGGGAGACUGCUCCAUCGGUGCUACCCUGUAGCUACCCUGCAGCUCCUCAAAGACAGCGGCGGAGUUGUGGUAUCCUCUGAGCUUAGUAACUUGUUCUAGCUUUCGAGUACACCACUUCCCCUGCCGUAAAACCCUUAAUUUUUAAUGGUUGACCUCGGAUCAGGUAGGAAUACCCGCUGAACUUAAGCAUAUCAAUAAGCGGAGGA